ACCUGGCUGGCUUAGUCAGUAGAGCAUGAGACUCUUGAUCUCAGGGUUGUGAGUUCAAGCCCCAUGUUGCAUG
rnacentral:tRNA from 1 species